rnacentral:lncRNA from 1 species
UUAUUAGUUUUUUCUUCUUUUUUUUAAUCUGUAUACUCUGUCUUUACAGAAAACGUCAGCUAGGCUCAUGACAAAGAGAGGAAAGACUAACAAAUAUGAUACAGAUAUUACGUAACACUACACAUCCUGAACUCAAAUCAAUGUGAUUGAGCACUGGGACUAAAAUAAGAACCAGAGUUCCAUUCGGAAACCUGAAAUUGCAUAUCCCGUGUUCAACACCUUGCCCAAUCACAGUCAGAUCAAAUGCUGUUCCGCACUAGGAUCGGUUGCCAUUUCUGGCUGGCUUUUAGGAUGAUAUUACAUUUGAAGAAAAAACAAAGAAAACUUUGGCUACAGAAAGAGGUCGUCAUCCCCCGCUCAACUAGUUGCUGCACCCUUGAGUGCGGACGGUGAAUCUGGGUGUGGCUCGAUAUAAGUUGCCCUGCCUUCUGGUCCCGCAGUGGCACUGGCUGAGAUGGUGCUGAGACGGCGAGUUUCUUUCAAAAUUGCCAACUUGAUCGCAGCAUCCAUUUCUGCAUCCUCUUUAGCUUCUUUAUUGCUCUCCUCCAGAUGUUUCAUCAACACAGCUACGACCACGUUAACCAGCACAAACUGAGCCAUUAGAAC